ACAGGGAGACAGGUGGUGCAUGGUUGUCGUCAGCUCGUGUCGUGAGAUGUUGGGUUAAGUCCCGCAACGAGCGCAACCCUUGUCUUUAGUUGCCAUCAUUAAGUUGGGCACUCUAAAGAGACUGCCGGUGUCAAGCCGGAGGAAGGUGGGGAUGACGUCAAGUCCUCAUGGCCUUUAUGACCAGGGCUACACACGUACUACAAUGGCAGGUACAAAGGGCAGCCACUUAGCGAUAAGGCGCGAAUCCCAUAAAACCUGUCUCAGUCCGGAUUGGAGUCUGCAACUCGACUCCAUGAAGUUGGAAUCGCUAGUAAUCGCAGAUCAGCACGCUCGCGGUCGAAUACGUUCCGGCCUU
rnacentral:rRNA from 1 species